rnacentral:rRNA from 1 species
UACCAGCACCCCGAGUGGUCGGGACGAUUAUUGGGCCUAAAGCAUCCGUAGCCGGUCAUGCAAGUCUUCCGUUAAAUCCAGCCGCUCAACGGUUGGGCUGCGGAGGAUACUACGUGGCUAGGAGGCGGGAGAGGCAAGCGGUACUCAGUGGGUAGGGGUAAAAUCCUUUGAUCCAUUGAAGACCACCAGUGGCGAAGGCGGCUUGCCAGAAUGCGCUCGACGGUGAGGGAUGAAAGCUGGGGGAGCAAACAGG